rnacentral:rRNA from 1 species
ACCUGGCGGCGUGCUUAACACAUGCAAGUCGAACGAGCAACGGGUAUUAGCUUGCUAAUACUGUCAGCUAAGUGGCGAACGGGUAAGUAAUAUAUAGGUAAUGUGCCUUGAAGAAGGGGAUAACAGUUGGAAACGACUGAUAAGACCCUAUAUGCCUUUAAAACAAAAGUUUGCAAGGGAAAUAUUUAUAGCUUCAAGAUCGGCCUGUACAGUAUCAGUUAGUUGGUGAGGUAAUGGCUCACCAAGACAAUGACGCUUAACUGGUUUGAGAGGAUGAUCAGUCACACUGGAACUGAGACACGGUCCAGACUCCUACGGGAGGCAGCAGUGGGGAAUAUUGCACAAUGGGGGAAACCCUGAUGCACCAACCCCCCCGUGGAGGAUGACACAUUUCGGUGCGUAAACUCCUUUUAUAAAGGAAGAUAAUGACGGUACUAUAUGAAUAAGCGCCGGCUAACUUCCGUGCCAGCAGCCGCGGUAAUACGGAGGGCGCAAGCGUUACUCGGAAUCACUUGGGCCGUAAA